rfam:Chitinophagaceae bacterium IBVTCB1 contig000002, whole genome shotgun sequence.
UAUGGUGGUAUUGCCGGCGGUGUUCACCUCUUCCCAUUCCGAACAGAGAAGUUAAGCCCGCCAUGGCCGAUGGUACUGCACAACAAUGCGGGAGAGUAGGUAGCUGCCAUAU